rnacentral:lncRNA from 1 species
AAAAAACAAGAAUCUUUUUGGAUUUUUCAUUUAUAACUUUUUUUGGUUUUCAAAUACAAAAUGGGAAGUACGAUGACAAAAGUCUCGACAAAGUCAGCUAAACUAGGACAGACUCUUACACCACCUAAAAGAUUCGAUACUACUGUACAAGACUAGAAAAUAAAAGGCAACAUGAAUGACAGACUCAAAAUAUAAAAGUAUCCUCAAGCAACUCAUGAAUGCAGUGGUCCUGACUGGAUGGUCCUGGGGCAUCUGUGAUGCUCAAGCUCCGGCAAAUGGAUCUAUACCUGUAUGAGAAAAAUAAGACCAAAUAGAGUUAAAGACUUAGAACACUGUGUGAGACAAUAACACUUCCUAUUAGACACAUGCAAGACAUAAUUAAGGCUAUUUUUUCAAAAUGACCUGCGUGGCCAAAAGGUGACUAGAAAUGAAAACUCAAUUAAGACAACCUCUAAAACAUGAAAACACCUCAACGAAGGCCCAUAAACUCUCAGGAAUCACGGUCCCUAAAAUUACUUUGUGAAAAUGACUCACUUUGCAAAAAUAGCCUAUGUGGUCGAAAAAUGGCUAAGCAUGCAAAUUCAAUAGGAAUGGACCUUAGACAGAGAGGACACCAUGUGGUAGACUUAGGACUCUAAAACAUGGGUUAGCAAGCCACUUUUGCGAAAAUAUCCCUAUUUUGCAAAAAUAGCCGAAGUGGCCGAACAUGGCUAGACAUGCAAGAUUUGGCUAAGACCCCGCGAAGCCUAGAAUCUAAGACUCACUAGGAAGACUGGACCCUAUGUGGGUUGCCUACGUAUCCCGCCCCGAAAGACAAGAAUCAGGUUCGCGUAGUUCGUGAAGAUUGGAUACGGAAGAAAAUUAAAGAAACAACUAAUUUGGAGAAAGCAUAUUUUUUGUCUUUUAGAAAAAUGAUGGAAAAUGUAAAAUCUUUUUGGAUUUUUUUUUUUUUUUUUUGCUUUUUGGGAAAAACUAUGAAAGAAAAAUGUGGAUGGGCCCAACUUGCUUCAUUUUAUACUUCACCCUCUUUUCUUUCUCACUAGUCCGCCAAAUGACCCCUUCACCCUUAAAGAAUACAACAUGUAGCACAUAGGGAUGAUUAAAUGUCUUUUUGGGCCAUGGGCCCGUUUUGACAUAAUUUGUUUAGGCCUCCUACAAAGGGACACGGUGCCUGGGACCGAGCCCUGCUAGGUCCAAAUGACAUGAUGCAAAUAAGCAUGACCUAAAAGCUUACUUACGAUUGGAGUUCACUAGACAAGGCAAUUCGACGUGGCACGUGGUCGGUCGAUAGCAGCUACUCUAGCUGUCCGCUCACUCCACACUCCCAUGCUACCCCCCUAAAGACACGGGUGACUCACAAAAGGCCGUAUAGGCUCAAACAUAUUUCGGAAGACUUGUUGCGGAAAAAAGACACAUGGUUAUGCAAAUGAUGAUACUUAUAAAGCAGUAAACACAUAAGAAAAAGCGAUAAACAAACAAACAACGAAACAUGGAACGAAACAAACAAACCAAAUAAACAAAGCAAAUAAAGAAAACAAACACCUCAACCGAAUAUUCUAAAAAGCCAACAAUAUCAAGUACCAGCUCGAACCUGCAACUCCCCAGCAGAGUCGCCAAAACUGUCAUACCCAUUUUUUCACCUCACUUAACCCCUCUUUAAAAGAGAUAAAAAGUGGUUUUGAAGCUCAAAAGGGGUUUUCAAUUUUAAAAGUGAUAAAAGAUUGUGUUUCAAAGGAUUUUUCAGAGUCGCCACCUGACAUUUGGUUUCGGUGUGCCAGGUCACCAUUUUUUUUAAAAUAAUAAUUUUUCUUCAAAACACAUUGACUCUAAAACUGACUGCACCAGAAAUUCUAGGUAAGAGGGUUCAUUUGACUCGGGAAGAAGUGUUAGGCAUUACCCGAAACCCAUAACUAGUAUGGUUGCACACUUGAUCAAAUUGGCUUUUAAGAAUACUCAGAUUGAGACUCGAGGUCGUCCCCGCCUAACAAAAGAAAAAUAAGAGAAAAGAAAAGAAAGUACUAAAAGAAAAUAUACUAAAAGUUCUAAGCUAUCCUACACUACGCUUCCUCCACGAUGUAGCCUCAGCCUCCGUUUACAUUCACUUCGGGGAAUAGCCCGGAUAAAAAUAUACAAAAUCCACGGGGCGCUCCCCUGAAUAUAAACUAAAGGGGAAGACCUCUCACCUUGAAUAAAUAUGAAAAAAAAAAACCUAAGGUUUGCCUUCCCAAGUAUUGAUAGCCUAAUCAUGCUCCUAGCGGCCGAAGAAAAAUAAAUAAUGCAAUAAACAUGUAAGCCUGAUUUCUCUUUCGUUAAACUAAGCCCAUACCAUCGUUUGCUUCUUUAGUCUACUCCCCCGUAACCCAAUUUUCAAAAUUAAUUUAUCAUAAACAAUGCCUUUUACUUCUUAGCCUAAUCUUUGCUUAACAACCUAAAUCGUUCAAAUCAAUCCAAAUUACGACUAAGCUCCAAGCAUUAACAACUAAACAAAAGAAAUUACUUAAUAGGCACACCAUAAAAUCUACAACUAACACCAAAUUCAUAAAGAACUCAUGUUAUCUUCAUUUCAAUAAAUAAAAGAUUAAGACAAAGAGAGAGAAUUGGACCUCAAUAUAGCUGAAAGUUGAUUGUU